rnacentral:snoRNA from 1 species
UGUCUCCUGGUGCUUUCUGCAGAGUAUUCUUACACUAACUGUAUAGGAAGAAGAACCAAAGUAAACCUACCCAUAUACAUCUCAGCCCAGGCCCUGCACCUGGUCUACAUUGUGAAUGGGGAGGCAGGA